AACGAGGAGGGAAGGGUCUCGCGGCCCUGCGGCUCCCUCUCGUCCAGUCGGGGCUGGCGGCCGGCCGACGCUUGGGGCUCUCGGCAGGACCUGCUGGGGGCGUGUGUUUCAGACCUCUCCAGGGCCUCGCCCUGCGGGCAGUAACUGUGGGGGUCCCCUGAGUGGCGCGCAGCCCCCCGCCCCGCCCCGCCCCGCCCCGCCCCGCAGGACUACCCUCCAGCUCCCGCGCGCGCGACGAAUGUGGCCGGAGGGGGCCGGGACCGUCUCCUCCCCGCCUCGGGCCCUGUGAGCCCGCCCCUUGCCUCUGAUCUUUGUGCGGUGUGGCACUUCACCUGGUUACUGAUUUCCACUUUUACGCUGGUGUUUUGGGUAGAGAAGUGGCCAAAGUUCACUCUGCAUUCAUUGAUGUCCCCUUUAAUCUUCUCUGUAGCGUUUACAUGGGAGGGACAAUGGGCAAAUUUUGAUACAUAGACAGAAGUGACUUUGUAUGUACUUUUCUCUUUUGUUUUUAAACUGCCUUAGGUGUUCCCAAUUCUGCUCAAAAGUGGCACAGCCUUGGGUAAGGACCACUGAUGACAUGUAGGCAGGUAAAUUGUGGCUGGCUUUCCAAGGACCCUGGGUACAUUGUUAAUGGGCCUAUGCUAAUUUUACCACAGUUUGAUGUCUCCUAAACUAAUUUUAAAAAUUAUUAGGGUUCACGGAAAGUGCAUCUUACCUCCCUAGAAUAAUCUGCCACAGUUAGGGAAAGCAGAAGGCGCUGGUGGGUGCAGCGGCCUCCUUCAGCUGUUAACACCUUAGCAUGUCCUUCUAGAUCACAAAAGAAUCAGGUAUGGAUGUAGUGUUUGAACUUUGUUUAGGGGAUUGCUUGCUGGCAGACGGACACUGCUGACCUGGUACUAAGAAUCUGUGCUUCAACCUUGAAAGCUUUUCUUCCUCUCAAUGUGUGUGGUCCAUGUUGCUCUGUACCUACAACACAGCCCAGUGUUUGUCCAUGUAAAAAGGACUUGUCAGCAGAGGCCAGAAAUUUCCCAGCACCCAAAGGCCUCCUUACUGCUCUCCUGAUUCCCACUUACCUUCUGUUACCAGGGAUCUGGAAGGUGCUAGCAACUGCAAGAGCGCCUUGUUCGGCUCCAUGUGGUUGGCAGGCCAUUGUUUUAGGAACUUGAGGGUGAUAUUCUCUCUCUCAAUCUCUCUCUCUCUCUCUCUCUCUCUUUCUCUCUCUCCCUCUCCUUCUCCCUCUCUCUCUCUUCCUCUCUCCCUCUCUCUUACACACACACACACACACACACACACACACACACACACACACCGCGUGUGUGUGUUGUUCGAAGAAAUUUUGUAACGUAAUCAAUGUGUUACCGUUUAGAUGUGUUAUAUAUUUGAUGCACUCAUGUAAAUUAUGCAGCAUUGGGUGCCUGAAGGACAAGCCUAUUCAACACUUAACUCCAUGAAUAAUAAACACGCACAUUCAGGUGAAAAACAGGAAGAAAAAGGGGGGGUCGUGUUUCUAUGAAACAUUUACCUUAGUAAUUUUUAUGUACCGUUAGUAAGUUAGAAACCAACUACGUAGCAUUUAAUAUAGCUCAUGCCAUGCCAUUUGGCUUUUUUCCCCCUGUAAAUAAUUGAAGAGAGAGACAAACGGCAAAAGCCUGCUGGAGUAAUUAGGGCUGGAUCCCAGGAAGCUUUAGGGCCCAUUUUCUGAAAGUGUGCUUCCUGCAUAAAGCAUUUAAUAUUGAUUUGUGUUACAGUAAAUGACAGUCUCAAAACAUAUUUUGCUGUUUCUCCUAUGAAAUCUGAAAUCUUAUUACUCUGGAUCCCUUUGUUUCAGGAGAAAGGUGCGUCCUCACUUGACCUAUAUAAUACUGCGGUGUUUUAAAAGUUUGGUAAUUAAAUCUAAACUCCCUAUUGUAAAGGUGUCAUAAUUAGUUCAGAAAGGAGUGUCUCCAAAAAUACAGAGGGACCAGAUGCAGAUACUAGAUACCAGAGUCAGAGAGGGGGACACACACCCCUUUC
rnacentral:lncRNA from 1 species